rnacentral:rRNA from 1 species
CCUACGGGAGGCAGCAGUUAGGAAUAUUGGACAAUGGGCGAAAGCCUGAUCCAGCCAUGCCGCGUGUGUGAUGAAGGCCCUAGGGUUGUAAAGCACUUUCGUUGGGGAUGAUAAUGACCGUACCCAAAGAAGAAGCACCGGCUAACUUCGUGCCAGCAGCCGCGGUAAUACGAAGGGUGCAAGCGUUGUUCGGAAUCACUGGGCGUAAAGAAUGCGUAGGCGGCUUAACAAGUCGGGAGUGAAAUCCCAGGGCUCAACCCUGGAACUGCUCUCGAAACUGUUUGCUAGAGUCCCGGAGGGGUUAGCGGAAUUCCGAGUGUAGAGGUGAAAUUCGCAGAUAUUCGGAGGAACACCAGUGGCGAAGGCGGCUAACUGGACGGGAACUGACGCUGAGGCAUGAAAGUGUGGGGAUCAAACAGGAUUAGAUACCCUGGUAGUCCACACCGUAAACGAUGUGUGCUAGUUGUCGGGCAGCUUGUCUGUUCGGUUGGUACGGACGGACGUAACGUUUUAACGUUACGUACACCGACCGUCGGGUAAGGUACGGCCGGCCGAACGGUUAAAACGUAACGAAGGAAGUUAGUACGGCGUGAGACGUAGCCGACGGACGACGACGAGGGAGGUAGG